rnacentral:rRNA from 1 species
GAGUUUGAUCCUGGUUCAGAUUGAACGCUGGCGGCAUGCUUUACACAUGCAAGUCGAACGGCAGCACGGGGGCAACCCUGGUGGCGAGUGGCGAACGGGUGAGUAACACAUCGGAACAUAUCCUUGAGUGGGGGAUAACGCAGCGAAAGUUGUGCUAAUACCGCAUAAGCUCUGAGGAGGAAAGCAGGGGACCGCAAGGCCUUGCGCUGGAGGGAUGGCCGAUGUCCGAUUAGCUAGUUGGUGGGGUAAAGGCUUACCAAGGCGACGAUCGGUAGCUGGUCUGAGAGGAUGAUCAGCCACACUGGGACUGAGACACGGCCCAGACUCCUACGGGAGGCAGCAGUGGGGAAUUUUGGACAAUGGGGGCAACCCUGAUCCAGCCAUGCCGCGUGAGUGAAGAAGGCCUUCGGGUUGUAAAGCUCUUUCGUGGGGGAAGAAAGGACUUGAGUGAAUAGCUUGAGUUGAUGACGGUACCCCAAGAAGAAGCACCGGCUAACUACGUGCCAGCAGCCGCGGUAAUACGUAGGGUGCGAGCGUUA